rnacentral:rRNA from 1 species
CCUACGGGCGGCUGCAGUGGGGAAUAUUGGACAAUGGGCGAAAGCCUGAUCCAGCCAUGCCGCGUGUGUGAAGAAGGCCUUCGGGUUGUAAAGCACUUUCAGUGGGGAAGAAAGCCUUGGGGCUAAUACCCUCGAGGAAGGACAUCACCCACAGAAGAAGCACCGGCUAACUCCGUGCCAGCAGCCGCGGUAAUACGGAGGGUGCGAGCGUUAAUCGGAAUUACUGGGCGUAAAGCGCGCGUAGGCGGUCUGAUAAGCCGGUUGUGAAAGCCCCGGGCUCAACCUGGGAACGGCAUCCGGAACUGUCAGGCUAGAGUGCAGGCGAGGAAGGUAGAAUUCCCGGUGUAGCGGUGAAAUGCGUAGAGAUCGGGAGGAAUACCAGUGGCGAAGGCGGCCUUCUGGACUGACACUGACGCUGAGGUGCGAAAGCGUGGGUAGCAAACAGGAUUAGAUACCCUAGUAGUC